GUGAAUAGCUAUGUGUGAUGUGUGAGUAUAUUAGAGUGAUAUGUCUGGGUACUUGUGAGUGAAUAGUAUUGCUGUAAAUGAAUGGUAUUGCUGUGUGUUAUGUGUGUGGGUAGCAGUGAGGGCCGUGUGAACAGAUGAGUGUGCUGUCAGUGGGGAAGCUGGGAUAGGAGUGAUAGGCAUGGGGAGAGAAUGUUAGGUGUGGAAGUGAUCGGAGUGGUAAUGGAAUGGAUUGUUG